GACGAACGCUGGCGGCGUGCUUAACACAUGCAAGUCGAACGAAGAGCGACGGAAGCUUGCUUCUAUCAAUCUUAGUGGCGAGCGGGUGAGUAACGCGUAAUCAACCUGCCCUUCAGAGGGGGACAACAGUUGGAAACGACUGCUAAUACCGCAUACGAUCUAAUCUCGGCAUCGAGGAUGGAUGAAAGGUGGCCUCUACAUGUAAGCUAUCACUGAAGGAGGGGAUUGCGGCUGAUUAGCUAGUUGGAGGGGUAACGGCCCACCAAGGCGAUGAUCAGUAGCCGGUCUGAGAGGAUGGACGGCCACACUGGGAGUGAGACACGGCCCAGACUCCUACGGGAGGCAGCAGUGGGGAAUCUUCCGCAAUGGACGAAAGUCUGACGGAGCAACGCCGCGUGAGUGAUGACGGCCGUCGGGUUGGAAAGCUCUGUUAAUCGGGACGAAAGGCCUUCUUGCGAAUAGUGAGAAGGAGUGACGGUACCGGAAUAGAAAGCCACGGCUAACUACGUG
rnacentral:rRNA from 1 species